rnacentral:rRNA from 1 species
GAUGAACGCUGGCGGCGUGCCUAAUACAUGCCAGUCGAGCGAACAGACGAGGAGCUUGCUCCUCUGACGUUAGCGGCGGACGGGUGAGUAACACGUGGAUAACCUACCUAUAAGACUGGGAUAACUUCGGGAAACCGGAGCUAAUACCGGAUAAUAUAUUGAACCGCAUGGUUCAAUAGUGAAAGACGGUUUUGCUGUCACUUAUAGAUGGAUCCGCGCCGCAUUAGCUAGUUGGUAAGGUAACGGCUUACCAAGGCGACGAUGCGUAGCCGACCUGAGAGGGGGAUCGCCCCACAGGGACAUAGGGAGCGUGCCAAAACCCCAAGGGAGGAACGACGAGGAAAUCUUCCGCAAGGGGGGAAAGCCGAAAGGGGAAACCGCGCGGAAGUGAUAAAGGUUUUCGGAUCGUAAAACUUUGUUAUUAGGGAAGAACAAAUGUGUAAGUAACUAUGCCCGUCUUGACGGACCCUAAUCAAAAAGCCCCGGCAAAUUACUG